rnacentral:snRNA from 1 species
AAAUUGAAUUGGUUCACCCAGGGCGAGGCCCAGCCAUUGCACUCCGGCGAACUGACCCCUGCGAAUUUCCCAAAUGUGGGAAUCUCGACUGCAUAAUUUAUGGUAGUGGGGGACUGCGUUCGCGCUCUCCUCUC